AACGAACGCUGGCGGCAGGCCUAACACAUGCAAGUCGAGCGAAGCCUUCGGGUUUAGCGGCGGACGGGUGAGUAACGCGUGGGAAUAUGCCCUUUGGUACGGAACAGUCCCGGGAAACUGGGUUUAAUACCGUAUGUGGUCCUUCGUAGUGGAUACGGGGGACGAAAGAUUUAUCGCCAAAGGAUUAGCCCGCGUUGGAUUAGGUAGUUGGUGGGUAACGGCCUACCAAGCCGACGAUCCAUAGCUGGUUUGAGAGGAUGAUCAGCCACACUGGGACUGAGACACGGCCCAGACUCCUACGGGAGGCAGCAGUGGGGAAUCUUAGACAAGUGGGGGCAACCCUGAUCUAGCCAUGCCGCGUGAGUGAUGAAGGCCUUAGGGUUGUAAAGCUCUUUCAGCUGGGAAGAUAAUGACGGUACCAGCAGAAGAAGCCCCGGCUAACUCCGUG
rnacentral:rRNA from 1 species